UACAGAGGACUCAAGCGGUGUUCGGAUUCAUUGGGCGUAAAGGGUGCGUAGGUGGCAAGGUAAGUCGGGUGUGAAAUCCCGGGGCUCAACCCCGGAACUGCACUCGAUACUGCCAUGCUCGAGUACUGGAGAGGAGACUGGAAUUUACGGUGUAGCAGUGAAAUGCGUAGAUAUCGUAAGGAAGACCAGUGGCGAAGGCGAGUCUCUGGACAGUUACUGACACUGAGGCACGAAGGCCAGGGGAGCAAACGGG
rnacentral:rRNA from 1 species